AGAACGGGAACCGACUUUCGCGCCAACCGCGCGGCCGCGCUUGCCUUUUCCGGUGGAAGUGACGCCAUCGGCAGCUGCAGCAGAAGAGCGGAAAUGUCAAACGUGGAGGGCUGUGCCUGGCUGCUCCUGAGAAAACUGGAAGAUGGUGUGCCAUGUCAGAUCACGAGGCCACGAAGUGCACCAGUUUCCGAGACAAUAUGAAAAAAGUGUUUCCAGCAGAUGGUCCCCUUGUCACCUGCGUGGAGAGAGCGUCUUCCCUUGAGUACAUUAAAGCCAUCACAGUUAAGUCACUGCUGCCUAAAACACAGUGGAAGAAAGCCUAUACUUUCGUUUUGUUUUUCUGCACUUGCUGUUGUUUAUUGCUUUCUCCCCACAGGAACCAGACCAUGCUUUAGAGGAGAAAGAAACAAGCCAAAGAUCUGAAAAUGCAAGGACUGUGGGUAGAGAAAAAUGUAGCUGCUCAACAUUCAUUGAUAGCAAAAAUCAUAAUCCUAAUCAUAAUUAAACAACUAAUAGAGAAGGAUUCAAUCUCAGUAAAAUACCUAUGUCAAGCAAAGCUAGCAUUACAUUGAAAGAGAAUCUAUAAAGACUCAGAAAUAAACAAGAAUCUCUAGUGUCAGUAUUAUUACUAAAUGUUUUUGGAAGUUAUGGUAGUGCAAUAAGAUAGAAAACGCAUAUAAGAUAGAAGAAACAAACAAAAACACCAAUAUUUUCAGAUGGUGGAAUGCCUAGAAAAUACAGUAGAAUCAAGAGAAAUGUUGCUAUAAUUAUUUAUUAAUGAAUACAUUAGUUUGGCAAAAGAUAAAUGUAUCACAAAGUCAUUUUCAUAUACCAACAAUUGUUAAUUGUGAAAAAAAUCCCAAAAUUGUUAUCUCAUUUACAUUUAAAAUAAUAAAAAGAAAAUUAUUUCUGGAAAAAUAUUA
rnacentral:lncRNA from 1 species